rnacentral:lncRNA from 1 species
CUCAUCUUUAAGGGGCUGAAUGGAAGAAAGGAGGCUUUAUUCUUUUAGACUAGUUGGAGGGCAUCCUAAACCCUCAGGAGCUGAAUUCUCCCCACCUGAAAAAUCAGACAGCACUCAGAGACCGAAGAGUCAACCUGGAGACAGCAGAAAAGACCUUGGAAUCCAAGG